rnacentral:rRNA from 1 species
GACGAACGCUGGCGGCGUGCCUAAUACAUGCAAGUAGAACGCUGAAGGAGGAGCUUGCUUCUUUGGAUGAGUUGCGAACGGGUGAGUAACGCGUAGGUAACCUGCCUGGUAGCGGGGGAUAACUAUUGGAAACGAUAGCUAAUACCGCAUAAGAGUAGAUGUUGCAUGACAUUUGCUUAAAAGGUGCAAUUGCAUCACUACCAGAUGGACCUGCGUUGUAUUAGCUAGUUGGUGGGGUAACGGCUCACCAAGGCGACGAUACAUAGCCGACCUGAGAGGGUGAUCGGCCACACUGGGACUGAGACACGGCCCAGACUCCUACGGGAGGCAGCAGUAGGGAAUCUUCGGCAAUGGACGGAAGUCUGACCGAGCAACGCCGCGUGAGUGAAGAAGGUUUUCGGAUCGUAAAGCUCUGUUGUAAGAGAAGAACGAGUGUGAGAGUGGAAAGUUCACACUGUGACG